AACGAACGCUGGCGGCAGGCUUAACACAUGCAAGUCGAACGCCCCGCAAGGGGAGUGGCAGACGGGUGAGUAACGCGUGGGAACAUACCCUUUCCUGCGGAAUAGCUCCGGGAAACUGGAACUAAUACCGCAUACGCCCUACGGGGGAAAGAUUUAUCGGGGAAGGAUUGGCCCGCGUUGGGUUAGCUAGUUGGUGGGGUAAAGGCCUACCAAGGCGACGAUCCAUAGCUGGUCUGAGAGGAUGAUCAGCCACAUUGGGACUGAGACACGGCCCAAACUCCUACGGGAGGCAGCAGUGGGGAAUAUUGGACAGUGGGCGCAAGCCUGAUCCAGCCAUGCCGCGUGAGUGAUGAAGGCCUUAGGGUUGUAAAGCUCUUUCACCGAUGAAGAUAAUGACGGUAGUCGGAGAAGAAGCCCCGGCUAACUUCGUGCCAGCAGCCGCUGUAA
rnacentral:rRNA from 1 species